CACUUGGAUGUAUGGUGACCCUGGACACCCAGCAGAGGCAAACUGGGUGGCUGUUGGAGACGGGGAAGGUCUGAGUACCCAUCUCCAACUUCUGCAGUGAGGCGGACUGUGUGCUGUCAGAGAACAGAUUUAUCUCUGGUGUGUGAUUCUCUGGCCAUUUCAGAAAUUUUUUUGGCAAUGCCAAGAGCAGCGGUGAAGAGAAGCCUCAGGGUGAAGAGAUGCGUCUAUGGAGGCUUUCUGCUGUUGUUUCCUGUUCUGGACAUUCCCAGUGAGAAGACACUUUUACAGCGAGAAGGAGAAGGGAGACUGCUAUGUUUGAUGCUGAGAGAUGUACUGGUAACCAGUGAUCUGCGUUUAGGGGUUUUCCUGGGGGAAGCGCUGAUAUCAGUCCUAGGGUGAUAGUGGGACAGCUGUUUUUUGUGGUUGCUGGUGGUUUCUUAACAGCAACUGGUUUCUUAAGAGCAGCAGCAGUUCUGGUUUCAUGCUGGACAUUUUUCUGUCUUCAGUGUGCAUGGAAUGUGGUUUAUUAUGUUUGCCCCAGUUGUAAGAAUUUCAAUGCUGUAAAUGCUAGUUUGUUGUUUAAAUGCACAUCUUUGUGCUGAAGGGCAGUAAAAUUAGCUGUAGUCCUAUCUUAAAGAAUAAGGUGAUUGAUGAGGCCUUGAUGAGCUUGGAAGGUGUCUUUAAUGGUUUUAUAACAGGUCAUUUACUGAGCCAUGUUUUCUUUGGGUGAGCAUCCCACAUUGCAAACUUUUGGGGGGUAUAAAUCAACUGCAAUAGUUUUGAUUUGGAGUUUAACCUGUAAAAUGUGAAAUACAAAGUGUUUCUAACUUGUAAAAUCAGGCAAAGGUGGGUCACUGGCCUGGCAAAGAGGAGUAUUUAAUGUAAUCUCUCCAAUUGGUUUCUUUCCCCCAGUUCAAAGGGAGGAGCAAAGUUUUGCAAAAAUCUCACAGGAGCUGGGCUACAGGAUCGAUAAACUGUGAGGAAGGGGGAAGCUUGUGUUUUCUUGCUUAGCUGUUUCCUCUGUUUAAUGGUAUGCAUGUUUGCUGUUGGAUGUAUGAAUACUUUUUCUCUAUAGGGCUCUCUCUGAAUUGGAGCUGGGCUGUUCUGAAGUUGUGCCUGUUUUUUGCUGAGGCGAGGUGUGCAGUUUCUGAGUGGCUUGAUAGUUUUGCAGCUUUGUGAGGGAAAUCUCACGCUGUGUUAUCUGUGGUUUAUUUUCCUGUUUUGGAAUGCAGGGCUGCCUAGAACCAGCUCAGGAUGAGUUUUUGGUAUCCUGCUAUUUCCUCAAGAUGUUUCCCCCCCUGCUCUGGAGGAUAGGACUCAAACCAGUGCCUUCAAGUUACAAGAAAGGAGAUUCAGGAAAACCUUUCUGACAGGACAGAGUGGUUUUACAGUGGAACUGUCUCCCUCAGGAGGUUGUGGACUCCCCUUCUUUAAGCAGAGGUUGGAUGGCCAUCUGUCAUGGGUGCUUUAGUUGAGAUCAGACAACUUUUUCAGGUUUUUGAAAUGGUUCAAAAUGCUGCAAAAGCUGUUGUCCAGAGGUUAAAGUGGGAUGAGUUGUUCACACUGUUUCAAAACGCAUUCAGAUCUCUGAAGGAAAAUAUUACUUUGCUUGUCUCUGUGAAAGGUGGGGACAUGUUAAAGUAUUAAAAUGUUGCCCUCCCCUUAUCUACACAGAGAGGAUAUUGUUGGCAUUCAUGGAGAGAAAGGGUUAUAACAAAGUGUUACAUAGUGCACUUGUUAGCAGAAAUCAUAAAACAAUGGCUAUGCCUGUCUUGAUGAAGCCAUAUUUUUAGAAAAAAAUCAACAUUCCUGUCCUGAGGAAAAAAAAUUGGUAUGUUACAUGCAUUUCAGUGACUUCCAACCAAGUAACAAUGUAUAAUUUAAAGCCCCCGCACCUUUAAUCACUAUUUUCUUUUUGCCUGCCUGCUCUCCUCUUUUAUCUAUCAGUGCUCCCUGAUGGAAUGAGAAGUGACAAGCUGUAAUUUUAUUUUCUUCUUGGAAUUCUGGUUCUGAAUUGAUAGAGAAGAUUUAGUUCCAAGGGCUUCUCAGGAUUAAAUGACUCAUUUGGAACUCUCUCUCUCUCUCUCUCUCUCUCUCUCUGUGUGUGUGUGUGUGUGUGUGUUGUUUCUUAUUAUGGGGAAGCGUUUGGGUACAUCUCUUUAGUGAGAUGAGCUAUGGGGGCAUAUGAAAAUAUCCUCAGGGCUGUAAUUUCAAAGGCCCUUGUAAGGACCCAGGACCUAUUGGUUGGUUGUUUUCAAAAGCCCCCCCCCCCCAUAUAUGAAAUUUAUACUCAAUUGUUCCUACAUCUAGCAUUCUGGUCAAUGAUGCCAAGACACUGGGGUGAACUAAUUGUAAACAUGCCAGGCUACUUGUUGUUGUUGUUGUUUUCACUGCUUUUAUUUUAUUUUUUACAAAUAUAACGAAGAGAGAAGAGAUUACAAACAUCACCAGCUGGUAUGAACAGUAAGAAUAUUCAAUCAAUCCUAAUUUAAACAUAUACACUACUAUAAGCAGUACCCAUGUCCAAAUCAGUAUCAAAACAAGAUGGGUGAUCAGCCAUGCAUUCAAACGUAGAAAGGGCAGUGAGAUCUUCAGUUUCACAUUGAUUUAUGAUGUCUCUGCCCUGCCACUUACAGCGUUCCUUCAGUCUCUACCUCUGUGAGCCCAGGAGUAUUGUGGACCAUGGCCUACUGGAAAAGAAGAGGCUCAGAAUAAACACGGCUUCAGGACCAAAAAAGAUUUGUGAAGGCAAAUUUCCAAGUAAGACAGGCAGCAAACACCUUGGUUAAUCUUCACUUUUGAAACAUUAAGGUGCUGGUAGCCCUGAAAAGUUUUUGCCUUCCUUGGAGCUUGGCUUGGUUUUGCCUGAGUCCUGGGGAUGUGCAUAUUCUGCAAGCACCUUUUCUUCAACACACCUGAUGCCUCCUUGUGGCUCAUGUUUUGCCUGGAUUGUACAGACUGAGCUGGUUGUAGCAUAUAAGGGUGAGCAGGUUUUCACUGGGGGAAAGGGAUGGAGUUGACUUUGGUGGGGUAGGUGGGUGAGCCCUUUUUACUGUGGUUCAAUGAAUGAGGGGCCAACCAAGUCUUCUGGGCCCAGCAGUCUCCUCUGAUGUUCCACCUGAUCACGAGGCAGGAACUUAUUGGAAUAGCCUUAUUCCCAGCCACCAGGGGCCAGUCACAUUUGUGGCAAAUCCUUCUGCUGUCUUGCCCUGGGCAGAAAAAUGCAUCUAGGGCCUCUUUCACAAGUUCCAUGAGGGUCCUGCAAAGUAAUUCCUCAACCAGGGCGAUGACAGCUUUGUGAAUCCAUCCUUUAAUUUUUGUCUCCAAGGAUUUAUCACAAAACUAGGCCAGUCAUGCGUCAUAACUGCAUUUGCUUCUGUUUAAUUAUGCUACAUUAGUUAAUCUUAUUACCCCUUCAGGAACCAACAUUUCUCCAUGGAAUAAAUCAUAUUUUGUUUGCUUGCUCUGCAUACCAUCUACAGAUUUUAUGACAUCAGUAUUCCCUGGCUGACUGAGGGUUGUACCAGCUUCUGUCUAAUUCAAAAUAACUUUCCAGUUGGUGUUGCAUAAGAAAUCCAGAACUGUGGAGCAAUUUGCAGGAGAAUUUAAGUAUUAUAGAAUCAUAGGAUUGUAGAGUUGGAAAGGACCAUGAGCAUCUAGUCCAACCCUCUGCAAUGCAGGAAUCUUUUGCUCAACAUGGGGCUCAAAUCCUUGACUCUGAGAUUAGAAGUCUUGUGCUCGACUGUAUCUACUAAUAUAAGCAGAAAGCAGCAUACAUACAGUCAGUGAUAGCCAGGCUUUUUAAUGUAAUAUUUGCUGUACCUGACAAGAGUAACUAGAUCUAGUAGCACACAGCCAGCAAAUUUAUUGAUUACUUUGAACCGGAACUAUUUGAUUCUUUUUAGCAAUCCCCCUUAUACAAAACUAUUUUGUUCUAUUCAGAACCACAUCUUCAUUAUUCUUUGUUAUCCAAAUGGUAAAGGUAAAAGACCUCUGGACGGUUAAGUCCAGUCGAAUUAGACAAUGGGGUGAGGUGCUCAUCUUCAAUGUCUGCAGACAGCGUUUCAGGUCAUGUGGCCAGCAUGACUAAACUGCUUCUGGCACAAUGGAACACAGUGACGGAAGCCAGAGCGCAUGAAAACGCCGUUUACCUUCCCGCCACAGAAGUAUGUACCAAUCUACUCAUGCUGAUAUGCUUUCGAACUGCUAGGCUGUCAGAAGCUGGGGCAAAGCAAAGAGAGCUCACGCUGUUGCACAGAGUCAAACUGCCAACCUUUCUGAUCAGUUAUGUUGUAUGAUUUUAGAUGGAAGUUUCCUUUUAUUCUCUAUCAUCCAUUGUCAAGGCCUUUGGCUAUAUACAAUAAAACUGAUUGCAGUGGUAUAUAUUCUACUCAUUCUCUUUGGGAAAAGGUACCACCAGUAUACUCUAUAAUGAUAUGUGAAUUUAAGGAGCCAUUAGAUUUACAGCAAAAAAAUAAACCCCUUUCCAGUCCCUUCACGUUGCUAACUGGGUCAGAUGUCUCAGAGCUGAAGCUCAAGAGGCUAUUAAAUAGCUGUCACUUGAGAAAAGUCUCAAGGUGACACUUUGUUGUGAAAGCUGCACCAAUGCUGCUGAGACUUUUGAGUUGUCACUUACAGAUGUAAAUGACAUCAGUAUUUCCUCCCUUUGGAGUGUUGUGACACUAGUAAUGUUCCCUGAGCUCAUUACUUAGAAAGUCAUUAGGGUUUCUAUAUUUGCAGAGAAGUGUCAUGUCUGUUUCUCAGACUAGUCUCUUCUCUGAAAAUCAAAGCAAUUCAAUUUUUAGAAGAAAAGUACCCCGUUAGAGAGAGAUGUCUGGUUACUGAAGCUUUCCCUGGAUCUGGGAUCAUCUACAAUAGCAAACAAAACCUAUACACUCUUUUAAUUAAGGCUUUAAAUUCUGUUUUGUUUUUUUAAAUGAUAUUUAUUGAAAAUUUUUUAGAAUUAC